UUGACCUCGGAUCAGGUAGGAAUACCCGCUGAACUUAAGCAUAUCAAUAGGGC
rnacentral:rRNA from 2 species